CCCCCCCUUUUUAUUUUAUUAAACAACAAGUAUGUGGUUUAGGGAUCGUGCCUGUCUUAGGUAGUCCAAUACUACAUAUGGUCCUUUCCCGUCAAUGGAUUGUCUAACCUCAAAUUUUCAGCCUCCUGGCUUAGGUUGGUACCAUUGUAAUUGGAUCUUUCCAGUCUUUGACUACCGGCCCAAUAUAUUUAGACAUACUUGUGGAUCUUGUCCUGUUUCUAGGGCCAUCAUCGCCUGUUUAAUGACCAUAGUGGGUUCUAUUUGUUGUCUGUGUAAUUUACACAAACACCAUAAACAACCUGCCACAAGCAGAAUGAGGAGAAUACAAAAAUUCCACAAUUCCAAGCCAUUGACAGCUCCAAGAGAGAAACCCUUGGAAAAAUUGUACCACUGAUGAUACCAUUGGCAAAGACACCCUGGUACUAUUAAGUGUUACAAUUUGUUGUAUCAAUAGAUUAGUUAAAUUUUGAAACUUUAUAUUCCAUGUGUCAUUAAGCAUGGCUUCUAGUUGUCUGGAAAGAUCUGCUGCUCGAGAAAUAUUAUCAUAAUGCAUAGAGGUGAUACACAGUCCAGGUAAGUUCUGUAAGCAGCUUAAAGCAGAGGAAUCCAUUAAUAUGUCUAUUUCUUCUUGAAGUAAAUUGACACUUUGGUUGAGCAUCAGAAUUUCUUUUCUAAGAUGAUAAUUAAUAAUGCUUUGUGUUUGUAAAGCUUGCACUAUUGUUGAGUUACAUUAUUUAUUGAUGCAGCAGUUUGUACAGUUUCUGUGAUAGCUAUCGAAGAAGCUGCAGCAGCAGCAGCAGAAACAGCAACAGCUGUGAUGAUGGUAACUGUAAUUCCAAAGUCUCGUUUGGUUUUCAGUAAUACUGGAAAUUCUUCUAUUUUUGUCUUCACUGGCACUGGGAUGAAGGUAGGAAUUCUGGCAAUGAUGGCUAAAGAAAAUNUAUGUCUAUUUCUUCUUGAAGUAAAUCAACACUUUGGUUGAGCAUCAGAAUUUCAUUUCUAAGAUGAUAAUUAAUAAUGUUUUGUGUUUGUAAAGCUUGCACUAUUGUUGAGUUACAUUAUUUAUUGAUGCAGCAGUUUGUACAGUUUCUGUGAUAGCUAUCGUAGAAGCUGCAGCAGCAGCAGUAGAAACAGCAACAGCUGUGAUGAUGGUAACUGUAAUUCCAAAGUCUUGUUUGGUUUUCAGUAAUACUGGAAAUUCUUCUAUUUUUGUCUUAACUGGCACUGGGAUGAAGAUAGGAAUUCUGGCAAUGAUGGCUAAAGAAAAUUGUGUAGCAUUCCAGCAAUUUAGUACAUUAUCCUGAACAGAUAUAAUGAAAUUAUUAGAUAUAAUGAAAAGGAAAUUAUUAGAUAUAACGAAAAGGAAAUUAUUAGAUAUAAUGAAAAGGAAAGGUGAAAGUAAACAAACAGGAGUUUUGUUCACAUUUUAAAACAAUCAUUGUAAAUAUCUGAAUUUAGGUAGAUUAUUUCAUAGACAUCAACAUUUUAUUAGUUUUUUGGAACACCUAGAAAAACUUGUAAGCUUAAAUUUAAAGACAUUCUUUACUUUCAUCUGUUUACACAAUUUAAAUUGAACUGCUUAAAUCAUGUGAAUAAAAGAGAUUUGGGUCCAUUUUUUUAAUUUUUCAUGAGCACUCUUCAUAUAUCUGCCAAUUUUCAUAUCAUGUGUAUGACAUAUGGACAUACAUAUUUACAGACAUACAGCACAUAACACAAGUGUGCACACAUAACACAAUAGUAAAGGCCUUAUAGCUUUUCACAGGUGAAUUCUCCAUUGAAAUUUUUAAAAACUCCGCAGUUGAUCAAAAAUAGAACUGAUCAGAAAAACAUUAACCUAGAUCUGUAGGAUCAAAAUUAUAAGCUCAAACAAUAAAAUAGAACUCCAUGAAGUGGGAGAGGGCAUAAUAAAAUAGAUAUUGAAAAAAGCAUCUUGGCUACCACCUGGGUUUGACUCUUCUUUUGAUAUUUCAUCCUUCUUCCUGUAACUUGCAUAUGGGUUUGAUGGUAUUCUCACCAGUAAGCCUCAAGAUUUUUUUAUAUUUGAAAUAGGCCUCAAUGGUGCUCAUUAUUCAUUAGCCACCAGGUGUGGGAGAACCAUUGUCACAGAAGUAAGGAUAGCUAAACUGGAGUUCUGGAUAUCAGCUGUUAUGGAUAUGAGCCAAAUCAUCGUCUUUUUGGUUUGUAGAAAUCUCUUUAGUUAGUCUCUCUGGAAUCCAAAUAGGCUGCCGUUCUUCCUGUGGAAACACACAUAGAGACCCCUGGCUCCAGACAAUCACUGGGUCAGGACAUUUCCAUUGUCCACUCAGAAUAUCUUGCCAAAGUACCUUGGGCUUAUGUACAUUUUUUGGACACAUGUGCCUUUCUGCAUCACUGAGCCCUGAUAAAUCCAAAUUGAAAAAAAUUAAAGUAAAAAUGUUUAUGUUAAGUUUAUCUUUGGGGGAUAUAUACCCCUUCCCAAAUCCUUCUUUUUGUUUUAGUAAGUACAUUUUAAUAGUUUGUUGAGCUCUUUCAACUAUACCUCGUCCCUGUGGAUUAUACGGAAUUCCUGUUAUAUGAGUAAUGCCAAAUGAUGAGCAAAAUUGCUUAAAAGAAGUAGAAGUAUAGAGAGGGCCAUUAUCUGUUUUUAACUGUUUUGGAAUGCCCACAGUGGUAAAGUUUUGUAAACAAUGAGAUAUAAUAUCUUUAGAUUUUUCUCCACCAUGAAGGGAGCUCAUCAAAUAUCCAGAAGAAGUAUCAAAUUUAACAUGCAAAUCUUUUAAUUUUCCAAAUUAUGGCAAAUGUGUGACAUCCAUUUGCCAUAUAUGAUUAGGUAUCAGUCCUCUCGGAUUGAUUCCAAGAUUAACUUGUGGAAAAAUGUCACACAAUUUUGACAUUGUUUUACUAUUUGUUCCUUAGUUACUUUAAAAUGCUUUUGUAAAGUACUAGCAUUGACAUGGAAGGAUUUAUAAAAAUUUGUUGAUUUAGGAAGAUGGCAGCGAGGGGAGUGCAUUGCCCCCANCCAUUAUCUGUUUUUAACUGUUUUGGAAUGCCCACAGUGGUAAAGUUUUGUAAACAAUGAGAUAUAAUAUCUUUAGAUUUUUCUCCACCAUGAAGGGAGCUCAUCAAAUAUCCAGAAGAAGUAUCAAAUUUAACAUGCAAAUCUUUUAAUUUUCCAAAUUCUGGCAAAUGUGUGACAUCCAUUUGCCAUAUAUGAUUAGGUAUCAGUCCGCUCGGAUUGAUUCCAAGAUUAACUUGUGGAAAAAUGUCACACAAUUUUGACAUUGUUUUACUAUUUGUCUAGCUUGUUCCUUAGUUACUUUAAAAUGCUUUUGUAAAGUACUAGCAUUGACAUGGAAGGAUUUAUGAAAAUUUGUUGAUUUAGGAAGAUGGCGGUGAGGGGAGUGCAUUGCCCCCAUGUGCUGCUUCACUGUGUGGGAGUAUGACAAGUCAGGAUGGCUAAAGGCUAUCUUGUUAGGAAUUUCCAGCAAUAGUGGGGUGCUCCAGAACCUGGAGGAAGGAUUUCCAUCGCACGGGGAUCGGCUACGGGGACUC
rnacentral:lncRNA from 1 species